GGCGGGUGGGUGCGGCCAUGUUGCACGCGAUCCACCCAACACCCACCCCACGGUGGGUGUUGGGGAGGCAAGGGCGGCGGGAGGACUGCUGUGCGAGAGGGGUUCGUUUGGCGAGCUCUCAUUCCGCUGAUGCGGCGUUGGAGGCCCUCUGGGGGCUGGUGGCCGUGUGCUCUGGGGGCGUGCGCCCUCUGUGGUACUCCCUUAGUGAGCUGACUUGUGGACGGCAUCCGCAGGCAGGAUGCAUCUCUUUGGAAUUGCACCGAAGGCAAACACGACUACUAAUGUUACUGGUGCCAGCGUGGCAUCUGGAGCAGGAUCAGAAAAUCGCGUUAUUAACUGUAUAUUCGGAAAGCGAGAUGUGAAACAAAUAUUUUGGCUGAUGAUGCUUUUGUUUCCUAUCGUAGUAACAUACACUAAUUUCAGAAUAGCACUCUUAGUAUUUUGGAGAAGUCGUUUGAGUCCUGCUUCACCAUACUUCCAGGCAGGAAUUGACUCCUAAGAUACCUAGAUGUUUGAAAAAUUGUCUUAGGUGGAAACUAUCUCCAUAGCCUCCUAUUGUUUUAGUGAUUAACAGCAACAGAAUUAACUUACAGAUGAGAAAAGUAAAUUCUCAGUCCAUAAUGGGUGGUUUUUCACCCUACCAACCAUGAUCUUUGGUUAGAAAAUAGAUUUACAUUGAAAAGAAGUGAGACAGGGGCGCCCGGGUGGCUCAGUCGGUUGAGCGUCCAACUUCGGCUCUGGUAUGAUCUCAGAUCGUGAGUUCAAGCCCCGCGUCGGGCUCUGUGCUGACAGCUCAGAGCCCGGAGCCUGCUUCGGAUUCUGUGUCUCCCUUGCUCUCUGCCCCUCGCCUGUUCGCACCCUGUCGCUCUCUCCCAAGACUACGUAAGCAUUUAAAAAAAAAAAAAAAGAAGAAAAAAAGAAGUGAGACAGAGCAUAGGAGCAGACAGAAAGAUGUCCAAGGCAAAAGGAGAUUACCAUGAAAGUAUCAGCCACGUUUACUUUGGAAUGCCAGAGUCGAUAUUCUGGAAGUGAUGUGGGUGGAAUACGUACACGGGAGUGAUGGAAGAGAGCUUUCGUUACCGUCUUAACUGAGUCACAGACGACCGAGAGAGUGGGAGCGUCGCCUGCCCUCGGCGUCUGAACACCUGGCGCUCGUGGAGAACCGGAGAGGCGGUGGGGCCCUGUCAUGGGGCUCCUCUCCCUGGGUGGUGAGACCUGCUCCCUGUGGCCUGCCCAAGGGCUCAUGGUGACAGAGUAGAGGAGCUGGACUUGAGCGCAGCUUGUCAAAUCCAGAGUUCCUUCCUCCAGACCGCUGGCUGAUUAGAAGCGCUCUGGGAAUAUACAUUUUUAUAAGUCCUUAAGAGAAACCAGGACUCACUCCCACUUGUAUUUGUCUAAGUGCUAAGUUCAAAUAAAACAAAUUCAAACAUG